GGUGCGUAGGCGGGUAUUUAAGUCAGUGGUGAAAUCCUAGAGCUUAACUCUAGAACUGCCUUUGAUACUGUUUAUCUUGAAUAUUGGGGAGGUAAGCGGAAUUUGUCGUGUAGCGGUGAAAUGCUUAGAUAUGACAUAGAACACCUAUUGCGAAGGCAGCUUACUACGCAUAUAUUGACGCUGAGGCACGAAAGCGUGGGGAUCAAACAGGAUUAGAUACCCUGGUAGUCCACGCCCUAAACGAUGGAUACUCGACAUACGCGAUACACUGUGUGUGUCUGAGCGAAAGCAUUAAGUAUCCCACCUGGGAAGUACGACCGCAAGGUAUGAAACUCAC
rnacentral:rRNA from 1 species